UACGAAGGGGGCUAGCGUUGUUCGGAAUUACUGGGCGUAAAGGGCGCGUAGGCGGUCCUGAUCGUCGGAUGUGAAAGGCCUGGGCUCAACCUGGGAACUGCAUCCGAUACGGCGGGAUUGGAGUGUGGGAGAGGUUGGUGGAAUUCCCAGUGUAGAGGUGAAAUGCGCAGAUAUCAGGAGGAACACCGGUGGCGAAGGCGGGUCUCUGGGCCGAUACUGACGCUGAGGAGCGAAAGCGUGGGGAGCGAACAGG
rnacentral:rRNA from 1 species